rnacentral:ncRNA from 1 species
CUCUAGUCCGACUUUGUGAAAUGACUUGAGAAGUGUAGGAAAAGUGGGAGCCUUAAUUGACAGGUGAAAUACCACUACUUUUAACGUUACUUUACUUAUUCUGAGAAUUAGAGGCGGGGCUACGGCCCUCUUUCUGGGCCCAAGGUCGCUUCAGUGGCCGAUUAAGAAGACAUUGUCAAGUGGGGAG